GCUAGCGUUGCUCGGAAUCACUGGGCGUAAAGCGCACGUAGGCGGAUUGUUAAGUCAGGGGUGAAAUCCUGGAGCUCAACUCCAGAACUGCCUUUGAUACUGGCGAUCUCGAGUCCGGGAGAGGUGAGUGGAACUGCGAGUGUAGAGGUGAAAUUCGUAGAUAUUCGCAAGAACACCAGUGGCGAAGGCGGCUCACUGGCCCGAUACUGACGCUGAGGCACGAAAGCGUGGGGAGCAAACAGG
rnacentral:rRNA from 1 species